CCCUUAGAUGUUCUGGGCCGCACGCGCGCUACACUGAAUGGAUCAACGUGUUUUCCCUUCCCGAGAGGGACGGGUAACCCGCUGAACCCCAUUCGUGGUAGGGAUCGGAGCUUGCAAUUGUUCUCCGUGAACCAGGAAUUCCCAGUAAGCGCAAGUCAUAAGCUUGCGUUGAUUACGUCCCUGCCCUUUGUACACACCGCCCGUCGCUACUACCGAUUUCGAGUGGUCCGCUGAACCUUUCGGAUUGGGCCAAUCUAUGGCCUGAAAAGUCAAGUAAAGCACAUCACUUAGAGGAAGGAGAANUCGUAACA
rnacentral:rRNA from 1 species